UACCAACUGGGAAGGAAGGAGGGGGACCUCAUGCGGCAGCCUGCUGUGAGUGCUGUGAAUGGUGAUUGACAUCAUGAGGGUGAAUGUGGACAAGGUUUUGGAACGAGAUCCAAUGCUGUCAGAGUUGGAUGAUGCACUGCGGGCGAAAUUUGAGACCAAUGCUACCAAGCUGAAAAAAAGUAUUGGUGGAAGAACUGUAAGAUAUGGGCAGUGUUGAUAGCAUUUGUUCGCAUCAUCAUCAUCACCAUCACUGUCUGGAGUGUAUCCUCAUGAGUUACAAGAAGAAAUGCAAACCAGUGGAAGCCAUCUCUCUCCUUCAAACCUGCUGUAUUCUCAAGCUCUCACCUACUGAUAUAUAAAGCAAAAUUAU